UGUUUUUUUGAUUAAUAAUUUAAAAUUUGGCCUGCCCACUGAAAUUUUGUUGAAGGGCCGCGGUAUUUUGACCGUGCAAAGGUAGCAUAAUCAUUAGUCCUUUAAUUGUGGACUGGAAUGAAUGGUUUGACGAGGUAUUAACUGUCUCAUAUAGAUAAUAAUUAGAAUUUAACUUUUAAGUCAAAAGGCUUAAAUUUUUGUAUAGGACGAGAAGACCCUAUAGAGCUUAAUAAUUGAUUUUAUAUUAAAUAUUCUGUAUAAUCUUUUUUAUUAUAAUAUUGAUUAUUUUAUUGGGGUGAUAUAAAGAAUUAAUAAACUCUUUAUUUAUUAUAACAUUGAUUUAUGAUUAAUUGAUCCAUUAAUAAUGAUUAUAAGAUUAAGUUACCUUAGGGAUAACAGCGUAAUGUUUUUUGAGAGUUCUUAUCAACAAAAAAGAUUGCGACCUCGAUGUUGGAUUAAGGUAAAAAUUAGGUGUAGAAGUUUAAUGUUUUUGGUCUGUUCGACCAUUAAAUCCUUACGUGAUCUGAGUU
rnacentral:rRNA from 1 species